rnacentral:rRNA from 1 species
CCUACGGGAGGCAGCAGUGAGGAAUAUUGGUCAAUGGCCGGAAGGCUGAACCAGCCAUGCCGCGUGAAGGUCAGUGCCCUAUGGGCGUUAAACUUCUUUUGUGCGGGAGCAAUAAUGGUCACGUGUGGCCAGACGAGAGUACCGUACGAAUAAGCAUCCGCUAACACCGUUCCAGCAGCCGCGGUAAUACGGGGGAUGCAAGCGUUAUCCGGGUUUAUUGGGGUUAAAGGGUGCGUAGGCUGGGAGGUAAGUCAGCGGUGAAAUGCCCCCGCUCAACGGGGUGAAGUGCCAUUGAUACUGCCUUGCUGGAAUGCGGAUGCCGUGGGAGGAAUGUGUGGUGUAGCGGUGAAAUGCAUAGAUAUCACACAGAACACCGAUUGCGAAGGCAUCUCACGAAUCCGCGAUUGACGCUGAUGCACGAAAGCGUGGGUAUCAAACAGGAUUAGAUACCCGUGUAGUC